GAUGGCGUGUUUUUCUGCGGGUCUAUUUUCGGUGUGGAAGUGGGAGGGGUCAUAGUAGAGUGGAGCUCCCAUUGACGGGAGGCAUGCAAAAAAUACUAAUGUUAGUAGUAGUGGGAGAUAAUUAGGAUGGGUUAUUUUACUACAACCCCGCCUAAAAAUAUCGCAACACGUCCAGAUCCGAGAACCAUUAUCCACCCCCUUAGAAGUGUCUCAUAAAACUAAAUGAAUUCACCUGCUUUUGCACAAACAACACACCUGCUUUUUUGGAACACAUUUGCACGAAAAACGCUGUUAAUGACACGAUUUUUUUUGUUUUGUUUUGUUUUGUUUUUUUUUGCAGCGAUUUCAAGCAAAUGCAGGGAGAAAUGCAAAGCUCAUCGGUGCUGCUGCAGUUUACCUCGAUCUGUCUUGCGGGGGCACUGACAGCUCUGAGUCGGCUGGAACAGGUGAAUUCAACCGGCACACACGCCUUUUAAUGAUUAUAACUGCGUGUAGAUGCGUGGCUUGGCGUGCACCGCAGUUAAAAGACACGAGAAAUGAUGUGUGCGUCCCUGACCGUGUCAUGUAGCUCGGGGUUUUUUUUGAGGUUGGGAAAGAUUGGCACCAAUUAACUACAGGAAGGAAGUAAUUAAAGGAAUCAGAUGGGUACCGCAGUUUGGAUGGAGGUGGCGGUGCCCUCCUCUCUCCUCCUCUCCGCUGAUGAGGGCUGGGGAGGCGGCGGGGGGGCAUUGAGCGGGCUCGGGGCGCCCUCUGCUGGUCGAAGCGCUCCACGCAGCAGCGGGACCGCAGCCAGAGUGCCUGGAGACACAGAGGGAAGCUUUGAGACCGACUGGCAUCAUUUCCUCUGAUAAGUGGAGACCGAAGGUGCUGGGGAGAGCUGUAUUUGUAGCUGGAUUCCCUGUCGGCUGCGCUGCUGCUGCUCCUGCAUACAACCCCAGUGUCUAUGCAGGGGCCAACCAAGCCUUCCCUAGUGGCUAUGCUCGGGGCACUCCUUUCAAAAUGUCCUGCUCUCCCAACACCAACCAGUCAGGAGCACCUAUCCCCAACAGAGCCCCUACGCACAGCACAGUGUACUGCGGUUGAAGCGCUGCAGAUUUUAGCUCUUGGUUCUCGUGUCUUACCCACAUCUGCCUGAGGAUGGUGCUAUAAUUUAAGGCGUUAAUACCGUCACAACAACAACAAGGGAUCUAUUACACACAGCCUCUGUAUGCAGAACGGCCUCAUGUUACCCAUCACACAGCUGCGGUCCAGCCAAAUGGGACGCCUGCCGCCAUGUACGUCCCACUCAUCCCUCCACCCCGCCACAAUGGUGUCGCCAUGGGGAUGGUAGCUGGCACCAGCAUGGCCAUGUCCGCUGGUGAGAAUCGGUUUCCAUUUCUACAUUUAUCGUGUUUUGGAUGGACGCCAAAUUUAUAGUUGUAACUCCAUAUUAGGGGAUCAGUCCACCAUCAGCUUUUUCCUGCUCCUUUUGUUGUUGUACUGUACUGUUGUUUUUAAAUCGACCAAUAAAAAUUCAGCAUCAGUCAACCUCAAGUAGUAACUGGGAUUAAAGUGCAAGAAAUGC